rnacentral:sRNA from 1 species
GGGUCCGUGGACCCCGGCCAAAAGAAAUUGACCAAACAUAACCGCGACUCGCGGAUUUGGAAGCUUCGCGUACCAAUAUAGUACAGAGACUGUAUCAAUAAU